rnacentral:rRNA from 1 species
CCCUUAGAUGUCCUGGGCUGCACGCGCGCUACACUGGUGCGUUCAGCGAGUUUAGCACCUUAACAGAUAUGUUUGGGUAAUCUUCUGAAAACGCACCGUGAUGGGGAUCGAUUAUUGUAAUUAUUAAUCGUCAACGAGGAAUUCCUAGUAAGUGUGAAUCAUCAGUUCGCGCUGAUUACGUCCCUGCCCUUUGUACACACCGCCCGUCGCUGCUACCGAUUGAGUGGUCCGGUGAAUUAUUCGGACCGGUGGACUGUGGGGAAACCCGCGGCCUGCUGGGAAGUCUUGUGAACCUUAUCACUUAGAGGAAGCAGAAGUCGUAACA